rnacentral:rRNA from 1 species
UACGUAGGGGGCGAGCGUUGUCCGGAAUCAUUGGGCGUAAAGAGCGUGUAGGUGGACUGGAAGGUCUGGUGUGAAAGCCCGGGGCUCAACCCCGGAGGGUCACUGGAAACCAACAGUCUUGAGUCUGGAAGAGGAGAGUGGAAUUCCUGGUGUAGCGGUGGAAUGCGCAGAUAUCAGGAGGAACACCGGUGGCGAAGGCGGAUCUCUGGGCCAUUACUGACGCUGAGGAGCGAAAGCGUGGGGAGCGAACAGG